ACACUGUACGCAAACGAAAGAGAUGGUAUCAGUGUUUCCUGCUCACUUUUUAGAUAUGGCUGUGUUUGGCUUAAAAUUAUUUAAAAAAAAACUCAUAACAAAAACUUGAAACAAAACUUUAAUAAAUGUUUGCGGCCCUGUAAGCCACACACUAUUGCCUAAUACUAUAAAAUGCAUUUUCCAGACCUACCUCUUGGAUACGCUGAUCUAACGUUUCACUGUUGAGUCAUUGAGCGUCGAGGCAGUUGACCGUCUGGCAACGCUUUAGGUUUUCUAGCCAGCGGGUGCACUACUACGUGAUUGUAUGACUACUCCGCUGUACUCCGCAUUCGCUGUUCGCUAUGUUUUACUUGGGUGUUGCGCUCUAUAUUUUAUCGUAAAGUAAUCGUGCAAGGCCCAGCGCCGUUCACGAAUAAUGUCGCCGAGAAGACAAUUCGGAAAUUACUUAUGGGACCCGUCCAUCGACGUGCCCAUACGCUCAAAAUAGGUUCAAAAACGUUCAUCAGUCGGUGCUUCGUCUGCCGCGUUGGACAGUGAACUGGGUUCUACUGAUGCAAGUGACCAGAGUUUCUGCGAAAACGAAGCAGACGCUGACGCAGGCCACAUCGCACCAUUCCCUUCAAUUGACGCUGCAACUGAAGACUGUCAUCCAUUGGAAAGCACGCAUGAAACCUUGUCUACCUCGUCGUCUGAGAGCAGCGAAUCGGAAUGUGACGCUGAUUGCGCUGACGUGUAUCCUGACCCCGGCGAGCAGCAUUUUCCGAGAGGCUGGAAGGUUGACUUGGAUGAAGACCUGUUUCCUGGAGCCAAGCUUACGAAAGCCGAAAGCCUCUUAAUGGUCAUGGCCCACAGCUUGCGCCAUGGCUGCUCAAAAGAAGCCACCGAUAGGUUACUGCAGCUUCUCAGAGCUCACUUGCCAGAAGGUGUCGCGUACCCAACAUCAAAGUAUACUUCUUUUUUGACACUUUGCCGGAUCCGAAAAGCAGUAUGCUAAGCACUUAUACUGUAGUGUGUGCUCUGGGUAUAUUGGUGAACUACCAGAAUUACCAGGAAAUGAUGUGGUUGGCAGUCAGUGCAAUGUGAACUAUGCGAGUGGCAGCUUACUGAAAAGCUCAUCAUUUUUUCUUGUAAUGGAUCUGAAGGGCCAAAUUCCAGAUGUGUUACAAUCAGGAAAGCUGCAAUACAGUAGAACAGGCACUUCCUUUGAUGUGUGUGACAUCACAAAAAGAUAUGACUACAAGUUGCCUGUGACUUCGAAUGACAUUACAUUGACAUUGAAUACUGACGGUGUGCCCCUUUUCGAAAGUUCUGAUGCGAGCAUGUGGUCUCUUCUUUUGAUCAUUAGUGAACUGCCAUGCAAAGAAUGUGCACAGACUCUUUUGUUGUCUGGGCUGUGGUUUGGCACAGGGAAGCUAUCAAUGAACUCUUUUUUGAUACAGUUUGUGAAAACAAUGAAUGAAAUAUCAUCCACUGGAGUUGUUUGGAGGGACAGCAGGGGUGUAUCGCACACGUCAAAGACAUUUCCUGGUCCCCGUACAGUAGACAGCGUUUCCAAAUGUGAACUAACUAGUAUGACACAAUUCAACAGUGCUUAUGGUUGUGCAUCGUGUGAGGACUCUGGGCAGGUUGUUUCAAAAGGAAAUGGGUUUUGUCGCGUGUGUCUGCCAAGUGCUUCUGCAAACAAGCUCAGAACACGAGCCAUUUUUGUACCAUGCACAAAAGGCCGUGCAGGCCCCUAGUUGUGGCAUCAAAGUAGCAAGUGUGCUGACACUUCUUUCAUUUUUUUUUUCAUUUAGUGAGGCCUUUGUAGUACACUACGUGCAUGCCGUUUGUUCUGGUUUUGUUCGGGCAACAAUGUUUAUGUGGCUGAAGUCUAGACAGUGCCACCGAUUUCAUCUAUGCCGACAUCUUCCCGAUGCAGACAAAUGUCUUCUGAGCCUCACCCCCAUAUGGGAGCUCACGAGGCUGCCAAGGUCUUUAAAGGACAUAAAGGAGUGGAAAGCUGCCGGUUGGAGGAAUUGGCUGCUGUUUUGUUUCCCAGUCACAUUAAUAGGACGCAUUCUAGAAAGACAGUACAACCAUUAGUUGAAAUUUUUUGUGAUCAUGCAUUACCUUCUUGACCCUUGCAUCUGCAUUCAGGAGCUUGCUACAGUUAGGAGAAAGAUGAAGAAGUUUCUUCUUGAGUACCAGGAAUUGUACGGUAUCAAGUACGUGACAUAUAAUGCUCUCCUCUUUUGCAUGUUGUCGACAGUGCCGUAAACUGGGGUCCUUUGUGGAGUCACCCUCUUUUUCCAUUUGAAUUUAUGAAUGGUACACUUAGACGCUAAGUCAAUGGCAUCAGAUAUCCACAAUUUCAGAUUGCCAACUGUAGCUGGCAAAAUUAGAUGUUUGCGUAAUAUUUUGUUUGAGAUAAGUGAGUGAUAGUUGUCCAAAUGGCAUGGUGAAGUAACAUUUUUCUUAAACUACAUAAUAAAAGAUGAGUAAUAUGAGAUGCCAUCAAAGGGCUUUAGACUUGCUUUAGCUAUUCGCUGUCUGGAAGUUGCUCACAAGACCUUACAGUCACUUUCAUCGCUUGUUACAAAAUGAAUACUGCAGCUGCAUUUUGAUUUUCCAACACCAUAGAAAAUGUUACAUUACCUUGCAACAGAGUUCAGUUUUGUUGGAAAGCUCUAUGGACUCUUUUGAAUUAAGCACAUCCUAUUUAACCAUGCUUGCUUUUGUUAAGUUAUUACGUGAUGUUGUGCCACAUUUUUAUGCUUUGUUAUGAUGUGUGCUGUGAGCAAAAGUGAUAUAUACAGAUUUUUUUCAUGUAUAGUAUGCUUUUGUACACUUUUGCGAUGCCUGUAAAUAAUAAAGAGCAUUAUAUGUCUGGU